rnacentral:scRNA from 1 species
GUCGCUCCACCCAUCACCCCAUGACAAGGAUG